rnacentral:rRNA from 1 species
GCUUAACCAAGGAAAAGCUUCGAAAACUGUGAAACUUUAGUGCGCAAUAGAAAAGUGGAACUCCCUGUGUGUAGGGGGAAUGCGUAUAUAUAUGGAAAAACACCCCUGGGGAAGGCGGCUUUCCGGUCUGUAACUGACGCUGAGAUUCGAAAGCAUGGGUAGCAAACAGGAUUAUAUACCCUGGUAGUCCCUGCCGCCAACGAUGAGUGCUGCUUGUUGGAGGGUUUCCGCCCUUCUUCGCUGCUGCUAACGCCUUAAGCACUCCUCCUGGGGAGUACGAUCACCAGAUUGAAACUCAAAGGAAUUGACGGGGGCCCGCACCAGCGGUGGAGCAUGGGGGUUAAUUCUUCCAACCCGAAGAACCUUACCUAGUCUUGACUUACCUUGUCAAGCUAACAUAUUAAUCUUUCCCUUCCUGGACAUGGAUACAGGCGGGGCAUGGUUGUCCUCCCUCGUGUCGUGAGAUGUUAUGUUAAGUCCCGCAACGAGCGCAACCCUUAUUAUCAUAUACCAUCAUUCAGUUCGGCACUCUGGUCAGACUGCCACUGGACAAACCGGAGGAAGGUGGGGACGACGUCAAUCCUCAUGCCCCUUAUGACCUGGGCUACACACGUGCUACUAUGGCCGGUACAACG